rnacentral:rRNA from 1 species
GAUGAACGCUAGCUACAGGCUUAACACAUGCAAGUCGAGGGGAAACGAUGAGAGAGCUUGCUCUCUUAGUCGUCGACCGGCGCACGGGUGAGUAACGCGUAUCCAACCUGCCUCUGACCAAGGGAUAACCCGUCGAAAGUCGGACUAAUACCUUAUGCAGUCGUCGGAAGUCAUCUGAUGACGACGAAAGAUUUCAUCGUUGAGAGAUGGGGAUGCGUCUGAUUAGCUUGUUGGCGGGGUAACGGCCCACCAAGGCGACGAUCAGUAGGGGUUCUGAGAGGAAGGUCCCCCACAUUGGAACUGAGACACGGUCCAAACUCCUACGGGAGGCAGCAGUGAGGAAUAGUGGUCAAUGGGCGUAAGCCUGAACCAGCCAAGUAGCGUGCAGGAUGACGGCCCUAUGGGUUGUAAACUGCUUUUAUGCGGGGAUAAAGUGAGGGACGUGUCCUUAAUUGAAGGUACCGCAUGAAUAAGGACCGGCUAAUUCCGUG